CUUGUACUCCCUUCGUCCGAAAAUACUUGUCAUUGAAAUGGAUGUAUCUAGAUGUAUUUUAGUUCUAGACACAUCCAUUUUGAUGACAAGUAAUUCCGAACAGAGGGAGUACUUG
rnacentral:pre_miRNA from 1 species